rnacentral:rRNA from 1 species
GGCAGCAGUGGGGAAUAUUGCACAAUGGGCGCAAGCCUGAUGCAGCCAUGCCGCGUGUAUGAAGAAGGCCUUCGGGUUGUAAAGUACUUUCAGCAGUGAGGAAGGUGGGUAUGUUAAUAGCAUACUCAUUUGACGUUAGCUGCAGAAGAAGCACCGGCUAACUCCGUGCCAGCAGCCGCGGUAAUACGGAGGGUGCGAGCGUUAAUCGGAAUUACUGGGCGUAAAGCGCAUGCAGGUGGUUUGUUAAGUCAGAUGUGAAAGCCCGGGGCUCAACCUCGGAAUUGCAUUUGAAAACUGGCAAACUAGAGUACUGUAGAGGGGGUAGGAAUUUCAGGUGUAGCGGUGAAAUGCGUAGAGAUCUGAAGGAAUACCGGUGGCGAAGGCGGCCCCCUGGACAGAUACUGACACUCAGAUGCGAAAGCGUGGGGAGCAAACAGGAUUAGAUACCCUGGUAG